UACGGAAUGUGCAAACGUUAUUCGGAAUCACUGGGCUUAACGAGUCCGUAGGCGGCAUGUUAGGUGAGGUGUGAAAUCCCCCGGCUCAACCGAGGAAUUGCGCUUCAAACCGGCGUGCUUGAGGAAGAUAGAGGUGGGCGGAACUGAUGGUGGAGCGGUGAAAUGCGUUGAUAUCUGGAGGAAUACCGGUGGCGAAGGCGGCAUCCUGGACCGACAUUGACGCUGAGGAGCGAAAGCUAGGGGAGCAAACGGG
rnacentral:rRNA from 1 species